rnacentral:tRNA from 1 species
GAGGAUGUAGCUCAGUUGGUAGAGCACCGGAUUGUGGCUCCGGCGGUCGCGGGUUCGAGCCCCGUCAUUCUCCCCA